rnacentral:rRNA from 1 species
AGAACGAACGCUGGCGGCAUGCCUAACACAUGCAAGUCGAACGAGACCUUCGGGUCUAGUGGCGCACGGGUGCGUAAACGCGUGGGAAUCUGCCCUUGGGUUCGGGGAUAACAGUUGGAAACGACUGCUAAUACCGGAUGAUGACUUCGGUCCAAAGAUUUAUCGCCCAGGGAUGAGCCCGCGUAGGAUUAGCUAGUUGGUGAGGUAAAGGCUCACCAAGGCGACGAUCCUUAGCUGGUCUGAGAGGAUGAUCAGCCACACUGGGACUGAGACACGGCCCAGACUCCUACGGGA